rnacentral:lncRNA from 10 species
AACAAUAUGUCUGCUCAUUUUUUUAAGAGAGGAAAAGACUCUCCUGGAAGUCCACGGCAGCAUUAUGCUUACUUCUUACUUGCCAGAACUUUGUCAUAUGGUCAGACUUUAAAGCAGAGAGGCCUUUGCUGUCAGUGGAAUACAGCAACACACAAGACAGACACAGUUGCCUUCCCGCUGAGGCUGGACGUCUACAAAGAAACUCUGGACAGCUAUUUGCCAAGGCGAUGGGCACUACAGAUGAGACGCACAAAUGAUAUGACUCAUGGGUGACGCUGGGCAAACCUCGGUGGUUGAGUCCUGUUGGGUUUUCUCAUAGGAGCCAGGACGUUCUAUGGCUCCCAGCAGCUCCAGCCCUCAGAAGUCACCGGCCCUGAGGCUUCAGCUUUGUUAGCCUCCAGGUGCUUCCAGGAACAUUCUUGUGCAAGACCGUGUGAGAGUAUCUCCAAGAUAGACAAG